rnacentral:rRNA from 1 species
UACGUAGGGGGCUAGCGUUGUCCGGAAUCAUUGGGCGUAAAGAGCGUGUAGGCGGUCCGGUAAGUCCGCUGUGAAAGUCGGGGGCUCAACCCUCGAAUGCCGGUGGAUACUGUCGGGCUAGAGUGCGGAAGAGGCGAGUGGAAUUCCUGGUGUAGCGGUGAAAUGCGCAGAUAUCAGGAGGAACACCUAUUGCGAAGGCGGCUCGCUGGGACGUAACUGACGCUGAGACGCGAAAGCGUGGGGAGCAAACAGG